GCUGCAAGAACCACUAUACUUGAAUAAAUUAAAGUGGCAGAUGACUUAGGAGGGGAACCGCCAGGUGGAGUGCUGGUCUGAGUCUGAGAGCCAGCUGGAGGAGGAGAAGAAGAAGAAGGCGAAGGACCCUGUGGUGGUGCCGGUGGGCCUGAAACCGGUGCCUCACCAGGUGGGGAAGAAACAGGAGUAGUUGGAGCUUGGGGUGAUGGAGGUGUUGCAAUAGGGCCCUCAGCCGUUGGCGACGGUGAAGGACCAUGAUGGGUGGGAGAGAGCGCUGGGCCUGAAUACGGUGCUGGUGAUGAUGCAGUGGGGGGA
rnacentral:lncRNA from 1 species